GGGGAUGUUUUUAGGAUUCGACAUAGUAAUAUA
rnacentral:tmRNA from 1 species